rnacentral:rRNA from 1 species
GAUGAACGCUGGCGGCGUGCUUAACACAUGCAAGUCGAACGGAAAGGCCCUGCUUUUGUGGGGUGCUCGAUUGGCGAACGGGUGAGUAACACGUGUGUAUCCUGUCCUUGACUUUGGGAUAACUUCAGGGAACUGCGGCUAAUAUCGGAUAGGAGCUCCUGAUGCGUGGGGUUGGUUGGAAAAUUUCGGCGGUUGUGGAUGGUCUCGCGGCUUAUCCGCUUGUUGGUGGGGUAGGGGCUGACCAAGGCUUUGACGGGUAGCCGGCCUGAGAGGGUGACCGGCCACAUUGGGACUGAGAUACGGACCAGACGCCUACGGGAGGCAGCAGUGGGGAAUAUUGCAGAAUGGGCGGAAGCCUGAGGCAGCAACGCCGCGUGCGGGAUGACGGCCUUCGGGUUGUAAACCGCUUUGGAAUGUGACGAAGAGUGAGUGACGGUAAUGGGUAAAGAAGCACCGGCUAACUACGUG